GACCAUGCGUAUAAGCAAAUUAGUUUUUUUUUUCAGAAAAGUGUGUUUUAAUAUAGACAUGAAAGUCAUAUGGUUUUUAAAAUUAUAAUAAUUAUUAGAAAAUGAAUCCACAAAACUUACACGUUGCCAGGUCGGUCUCGCUGAUCGGAA
ensembl:ncRNA Y105C5B.1416 ncRNA